rnacentral:misc_RNA from 1 species
AAUACAAUCCCAACAGCAACAGCAACAGCAUUUUCAGUACCAACAGCUGCAUCAGCUUCAACAACAACAGGCUGGAGACAUCAGAAUGAAAGGAUCCAUAUCUCCUCAGAGUUUGAAAGACUCUGCAUCGGACACAAAGCCGUCUACCACUUGUUGAAAAAUCUUCAUGGCCAAGUACGUCGAGAAUAGUUUAUUUUGUAAAGAAAUCUGGCUCA